rfam:Desulfobacterales bacterium S5133MH4 k99_65897, whole genome shotgun sequence.
AAAGCCCUGCGGCGAAGGAUUAGCCAUCCACGUCGUCCCCGAGUCAUGCGGAGUCAGCGGUAACGGUGGCACCGAAGCGUUGACAGGGGUACGUACAGGCUGGGUAUUGAGCCCCGAAAUAAAGACUAAAAAUUCCGAGUGCCGACGUGCUUCAAGACUACGGAAGGCAAUAUUUCAUGCGCUGCCAUGGCGAGGCGUAUGCGGACUCGGCGGGGUCGGAGACCC